rnacentral:rRNA from 1 species
CAGCACCUCAAGUGGUCAGGAUGAUUAUUGGGCCUAAAGCAUCCGUAGCCGGCGCUGUAAGUUUUCGGUUAAAUCUGUACGCUCAACGUACAGGCUGCCGGGAAUACUGCAGCGCGAGGGAGUGGGAGAGGUAGACGGUACUCGGUAGGAAGGGGUAAAAUCCUUUGAUCUAUUGAUGACCACCUGUGGCGAAGGCGGUCUACCAGAACACGUCCGACGGUGAGGGAUGAAAGCUGGGGGAGCGAACCGGAUUAGAUACCCGAGUAGUCC